GCUGACAAUGAACUACUACUUGAAGUUAUCAUUACAUUUAUGAAAUCUAAGCCUUGCGUGCGGUUUCAGCUUCUGCUUGUCUGAGUUUAACCGAACGAAGUUCAUGAAGUCGGUCAGCCCGUGACCCUUUUUACGCUGGCUUUAUUUGCUCUGGAGUUCUACAAAUUUAACCCAAAGAACUCAUGUACUACAAAACCAGUUAUUAAUAAUUUAUAGCAGUACUAUAUAUAAAUUCCAACAGUAGAUAUAAAUUCAAGAACAAAAACCCUUAACAUAAUAACUGAAAGUACCAUGGAAUUCAUGGAUAAUCAGGCUCAUAGAUCUGUUGCUUCCCUGAAAUAUUGUAGAAACUCUUGAAGAAUUGUGAUAGUAAUAUAUAGCAUACUGAGUACUGCUGCUCCCUACUCACAAAAUAAUCGAGUAACAAGUCAAGUUGAACAGUAGAACUUAAGAAUAGUUAAUCACCAUUCAUACACCAAAGGGGAGAAAAUCACUCAUGUCAUGUUGUGGUGCUGCAUUGUGGGAUUGAAUGGCAGGGCAAUUCUUCUUUGGCAGAGAAACAAGUAUGCACGUGCAUGUUCUUCCUGCCAAAGAAGGAUCGCACUGUUAUUCUCUUACCCUCAUUAUUAUCUUUCUUCAACUUGAUCAAUAUAAGUUGGAGUUGAUCGUCCAGUCUUUAUAUAGGACCUAGCUACGCACCUUCGUUGGCAUAUUCUUAUGUUAAAUGAGAAAAUGGCAUAUGCUUCCACUCUAUUCCGAUCCUUUAGGGUUUUUGCACCCUUUACUUUUUGUUUGGGGUCAUGGUAAAAAAAAGUGCUCACCUUCGGUCUCCCCCUUUUUUACUUCCAUGG
rnacentral:lncRNA from 1 species